rnacentral:rRNA from 1 species
GAUGAACGCUAGCGGCAGGCUUAAUACAUGCAAGUCAAGGGGGUAGCAAUAUAACCGGCGCACGGGUGAGUAACACGUACACAACAUACCAUAUACUGAGGUAUAGCUUCGGGAAACUGAAGGUAAUCCCUCAUAGUAUUGUGAAAGGGCAUCUUUUUACAAUUAAAGUUUCGACGGUAUAUGAUUGGUGUGCGUUUGAUUAGCUAGUUGGUAGGGUAAUGGCCUACCAAGGCAACGAUCAAUAGCUGGCGUGAGAGCGCGACCAGCCACACUGGAACUGAGACACGGUCCAGACUCCUACGGGAGGCAGCAGUAGGGAAUAUUGGACAAUGGGCGAAAGCCUGAUCCAGCCAUGCCGCGUGAUAGAUGAAGGCCCUCUGGGUUGUAAAUAUCUUUAUCUGGAAGAAACACUUCUAUUCUUAGAAG